GCUUGUCUCAAAGAUUAAGCCAUGCAUGUCUAAGUAUAAACGAUUUUAUACGUGAAACUGCGAAUGGCUCAUUAAAUCACACCUAAUCUACUGGAAAGUUACUAGUUACUUGGAUAACUGAGGUAAUUCUUGAGCUAAUACAUGCGAAAAAUCUCGACUCACGGAGAGAUGCUUUUAUUAGAUCAAAACCAAACGGCUUCGGCCGUCUCAUUGGUGACUCUGAAUAACUUUGGGCUGAUCGUAUGGCCUUGUGCCGACGACGUUUCCUUCGAAGGUGUGCCCUAUCAACUGUCGA
rnacentral:rRNA from 1 species